rnacentral:rRNA from 1 species
AUGCAGCAAGCCCCCUUACUGGAGAAAUUAGACUGGGUGUUCACUUCUGAAUCUUGGACUUCUCACUUUCCUAACACUCUAGUUCAACCUUUGUCCAAACCUGUCUCAGAUCACAUACCCUGUCAGGUGCAAGUUGGUACACAUAUUCCCAAGUCUAAAAUCUUCAGGUUUGAAAACUUUUGGCUGCAAAUUGAGGGUUUCAAAGAUAUUGUUAAGCAGAAUUGGGAACAGGCGAUCAACAUCCCAGACAGUGCAAAGAGAAUUACCGCAAAAUUCAAAAGGCUCAGAAAGUGUCUCAAAAUUUGGGCAAAAUCAAUCUCUCAGCUCAGUAUUUCCAUUAAAGCCACUAAUGAAGUCAUUCUUUUUCUGGACUCAAUAGAAGAUUUUAGAACCCUCACUUUACAAGAAUGGAAUGGGAGAGAGUUUCUAAAGCAGCAUCUGCACACACUUCUGGAAAGGCAAAGGGUCUAUUGGCAACAGAGAGCUACAAUUAGAUGGGUCAAAUUUGGAGAGGCAAACUCAAAGUAUUUUCAGGCCAAAGCCACCAUCAAAUACAAGGUUAAUCACAUUGCCAGUUUGCAGGAUGAUUUGGGCAACAUUCAUAGAGAACACAAUGCCAAAGCUAAUAUCCUCUUCAAUGCUUUCAAAAAGAGAUUAAAUACUUCUGUGCCCACUUUCAACCCUCUUAAUUUCGGUAAUCUGUUGAAUAGAGAUGUGGAUUUCUCUCUAUUAGAAAUUCCUUUCUCUCAGGAAGAAAUUGAUACAGUUGUCAAAAAUCUGCCUAAUGACAAGGCUCCAGGACCAGAUGGCUUCAAUACAAACUUCAUCAAGCAUUGCUGGGAUAUUCUGCCCCUGAUUUCUACGCUUUAA